CCAUGUCCUCACAGCUCCUCACUGAGCAGGCCUGCAGAUGUCACCCAGACCAGGCCAACCCUGGACAGAUGUGGAAACUGGACCUACAGUGGAGGGAGGCAAAUGGACCAGCAGGCUCCCGAAGGCCCAUUUCAGUGGAGAAUCUCUUAGGCUAACACAUCAUGCCAAGGUUUUUGCUUAUCAACCCAGCCACCAUGCCAGGUCUUUGCCAGAGGGGCUGAUUCCAGAGAGUUGUUCUUCCAGCCAGAAAGCAAUGUGGCUCCCAUUGCAUCCAGAAGAAAGCACAUUAGCCAAACUCAUCAGACCAUUGCUGUGUACCACCAGCUGGAAGCUUCCUUCAACAUAGUAGCCUUGUUACAGCCCCUAACAUGCAUGGUGCAUUCCAGCUUCCACCUCUGUUCAUGUCCUGACAUCUCUGGCCUAGUACCAGCUCCUGGCCUCAGAUCUUUUAAUAAGACUUCUC
rnacentral:lncRNA from 1 species